UCUGUAGUUCAGUCGGUAGAACGGCGGACUGUUAAUCCGUAUGUCACUGGUUCGAGUUUGGUUGUUCCGCGCCA
rnacentral:tRNA from 1 species